rnacentral:rRNA from 1 species
CCUACGGGAGGCAGCAGUGGGGAAUAUUGCACAAUGGGGGAAACCCUGAUGCAGCGACGCCGCGUGAGUGAAGAAGUAUUUCGGUACGUAAAGCUCUAUCAGCAGGGAAGAAAAUGACGGUACCUGACUAAGAAGCCCCGGCUAACUACGUGCCAGCAGCCGCGGUAAUACGUAGGGGGCAAGCGUUAUCCGGGUUUACUGGGUGUAAAGGGAGCGUAGACGGCAGCGCAAGUCUGGAGUGAAAUCCCAUGGCUUAACCAUGGAACUGCUUUGGAAACUGUGCAGCUAGAGUGCAGGAGAGGUAAGCGGAAUUACUAGUGUAGCGGUGAAAUGCGUAGAUAUUAGGAGGAACACCAGUGGCGAAGGCGGCUUACUGGACUGUAACUGACGUUGAGGCUCGAAAGCGUGGGGAGCAAACAGGAUUAGAUACCCCUGUAGUC